AAUCCAUAGGUUAAUGAGGCGAACCGGGGGAACUGAAACAUCUAAGUACCCCGAGGAAAAGAAAUCAACCGAGAUUCCCCCAGUAGCGGCGAGCGAACGGGGAGGAGCCCAGAGCCUGAAUCAGCAUGUGUGUUAGUGGAAGCGUCUGGAAAGGCGCGCGAUACAGGGUGACAGCCCCGUACACAAAAGCGCAUGUGCUGUGAGCUCGAUGAGUAGGGCGGGACACGUGGUAUCCUGUCUGAAUAUGGGGGGACCAUCCUCCAAGGCUAAAUACUCCUGACUGACCGAUAGUGAACCAGUACCGUGAGGGAAAGGCGAAAAGAACCCCGGCGAGGGGAGUGAAAAAGAACCUGAAACCGUGUACGUACAAGCAGUGGGAGCACCCUUUGGGGUGUGACUGCGUACCUUUUGUAUAAUGGGUCAGCGACUUAUAUUCUGUAGCAAGGUUAACCGAAUAGGGGAGCCGGAGGGAAACCGAGUCUUAAUUGGGCGUUAAGUUGCAGGGUAUAGACCCGAAACCCGGUGAUCUAGCCAUGGGCAGGUUGAAGGUUGGGUAACACUAACUGGAGGACCGAACCGACUAAUGUUGAAAAAUUAGCGGAUGACCUGUGGCUGGGGGUGAAAGGCCAAUCAAACCGGGAGAUAGCUGGUUCUCCCCGAAAGCUAUUUAGGUAGCGCCUCGUGAAUUCAUCUCCGGGGGUAGAGCACUGUUUCGGCUAGGGGGCCAUCCCGGCUUACCAACCCGAUGCAAACUGCGAAUACCGGAGAAUGUUAUCACGGGAGACACACGGCGGGUGCUAACGUCCGUCGUGAAGAGGGAAACAACCCAGACCGCCAGCUAAGGUCCCAAAGUCAUGGUUAAGUGGGAAACGAUGUGGGAAGGCCCAGACAGCCAGGAUGUUGGCUUAGAAGCAGCCAUCAUUUAAAGAAAGCGUAAUAGCUCACUGGUCGAGUCGGCCUGCGCGGAAGAUGUAACGGGGCUAAACCAUGCACCGAAGCUGCGGCAGCGACACUCAGGUGUUGUUGGGUAGGGGAGCGUUCUGUAAGCCUGCGAAGGUGGCCUGUGAGGGUUGCUGGAGGUAUCAGAAGUGCGAAUGCUGACAUAAGUAACGAUAAAGCGGGUGAAAAGCCCGCUCGCCGGAAGACCAAGGGUUCCUGUCCAACGUUAAUCGGGGCAGGGUGAGUCGACCCCUAAGGCGAGGCCGAAAGGCGUAGUCGAUGGGAAACGGGUUAAUAUUCCCGUACUUGGUGUUACUGCGAAGGGGGGACGGAGAAGGCUAUGUUGGCCGGGCGACGGUUGUCCCGGUUUAAGCGUGUAGGUGUGUGUUCCAGGUAAAUCCGGUU
rnacentral:rRNA from 2 species